rnacentral:misc_RNA from 1 species
UCUUCGUAGGUGAACCUGCGGAGGGAUCAUUGAUGAAUUUAAACAUGGACUGUUUGCCUCGGCAAGCUGAUCCUAUUCAUCCCACAUACACCUGUGCACCCUUUUUUUCCCUUUUGGUGAAUGCCCUGAGGAAAGGUCAGUGUUGCACUAACAGAUUACUCUUGGCGGACGCUGGAAGGCGAAACCCUAGUGAAUGUAAACAGUCAUGUGUUAUUACAAAUUCCUUCAUAGGAAAGAUGUCUUAACAACUAUUAACGGUGGACCUCUUGGCUCUCGCAUCGAUGAAGAACGCAGC